GAAAGGAAAUCAGAGCAUGGACAUGAAUUCAAAGAAAAUAUUCAAGUAUUGAUAGAAAGAUUCGAAGUAAAACAAAAAGAAAAGGAGAUGAAACUUCGUGAGGAGCGAUUAAUGCUGCAGCGGAAACACGAAGGUAAUCAUCCUAAAAAUAUUCUCGGUCUUAUUAGUUUUGCCCAUCUUUCCAUCCUUGUUUUAAUUUCAGCACCGUAUUGCGCAAAGCAUUAUUAUUAACAUGAGGGUCCAGGGCCGACAUUUGGGGCAUGUUUUCAAAAUGGUCCAGAUACGC